GAAAUGCGAUAAUUAAUGUGAAUUGCAGAAUUCAGUGAGUCAUCGAGUCUUUGAACGCACAUUGCGCCCCCUGGUAUUCCGGGGGGCAUGCCUGUCCGAGCGUCAUUGCUGCCCUCAAGCACGGCUUGUGUGUUGGGCUUCCGUCCCUGGCAACGGGGACGGGCCCAAAAGGCAGUGGCGGCACCAUGUCUGGUCCUCGAGCGUAUGGGGCUUUGUCACCCGCUCCCGUAGGUCCAGCUGGCAGCUAGCCUCGCAACCAAUCUUUUUAACCAGGUUGACCUGGGAUCAGGUAGGGAUACCCGCUGAACUUAAGC
rnacentral:misc_RNA from 1 species